rnacentral:misc_RNA from 1 species
UUUCCGUAGGUGAACCUGCGGAAGGAUCAUUAGUGAACGCCCUCACGGGCUUAUACCUAUUCCAAACCUCUGUGAAUCGUGCCCUUCGGGGCUAUUUUUCAAACAUGGUGUACUGAACGUCAUAUAUCAAAACAAAACAAAACUUUCAACAACGGAUCUCUUGGCUCUC